rnacentral:rRNA from 1 species
AUUGAACGCUGGCGGCAUGCCUUACACAUGCAAGUCGAACGGUAACAGGUCUUCGGAUGCUGACGAGUGGCGAACGGGUGAGUAAUACAUCGGAACGUGCCUAGUAGUGGGGGAUAACUACUCGAAAGAGUGGCCAAUACCGCAUGAGAUCUACGGAUGAAAGCAGGGGAUCGCAAGACCUUGUGCUACUAUAGCGGCCGAUGGCAGAUUAGGUAGUUGGUGGGAUAAAAGCUUACCAAGCCGACGAUCUGUAGCUGGUCUGAGAGGACGAUCAGCCACACUGGGACUGAGACACGGCCCAGACUCCUACGGGAGGCAGCAGUGGGGAAUUUUGGACAAUGGGCGCAAGCCUGAUCCAGCAAUGCCGCGUGCAGGAUGAAGGCCUUCGGGUUGUAAACUGCUUUUGUACGGAACGAAAAGCCCCGGGUUAAUACCCUGGGGUCAUGACGGUACCGUAAGAAUAAGCACCGGCUAACUACGUGCCAGCCGCCGCCGUAA